rnacentral:piRNA from 1 species
UGGAAGACAGAGUAGCCCAUCAGCAGC